AUGGCCUCUAGGGCGACCAAAUUGGAUGGUAUAUGUGUGUGGGGAUGGAAGAUCGUUUCUCCAGUAGUGAAGAUUAGUCCCAAUUUUGCAAUUAGCAAUGAUCAGCAGUUAUCAAUAUUCUGGGUAGAGUGGGUUGAGCACUGAUUGACCCAAAUGCGUCUCAGUUGCUUGGCUAACGAUACUGGAGCUGAAGAACAGGUAUAUGGGGGCGUGAGUUCUGCCAUGAGAACUUGUACCGCUUAUAGAAUCGAAAGAGGCUUUCAUUUUCUUUUAGAAACACCACUAAACCAAAUGAAGGGAAGCCGCUGCCGCAGGUAUUUCAUCUAGACGUUAUAAACAGAAGACAAUUAAUAGGCUAUUUCAUCUAGACGUUAAUAGGCUACUAGAUUUAUGUAUUCCUUAAUGAUCUAGACAUAUAAAUUAUUUAAGCAUGAACAUUUCCCAACUUAUAUAUGCUUAUUCGAGGAGGAUAUCUUCU
rnacentral:lncRNA from 1 species